rnacentral:lncRNA from 13 species
GGCUAUUCAUGUGAGAUGUACUGGAAUUAAUUCUCUAUGACCUCCUUUCUAGGCUCUGCUAAACAGUAAUCCCUCUGUGGGACUAUUUUAGAGGGACUGCUCAGAAUCUCCAGUCUUCCAGGGUCAGGCCUGCUAGGGCUCUUUGUUCAGUUUCCCUCUGCCCAAGGACCAGGUAGAGCUCUUUCUUCCACCUUCCUGCACUGACAAGUCAGAUAUUAAUAAGGAUCUUGAGAUGAAAUCAUACUGGAUUAUCCUAGUACACCCUAAAUCUGUAAAUAAGACUAUUUGAAGAUGGAAGCAGAGCUUGCAGUUAUGCAGCUACAAGACAAAGAAUGCCUUGAGCACCAGCAGCUGAAAGAGGCAGAGGAGGUAGAAGAAGUAAUGGAAAAAACCCACGGGCGACAUCAUCAACUAAACCAGCAAUGAUCGAGAAGAUAAAUGAAAGUGAGGCAGAAGGAAGAAAAUUUGACAAUGGCAACCGUGGAAGUCCUGCAGGAGAAAAGCUUGGAUGGG